CGCUUUAGGACUGGACCUGAAAAAAUCGGAUAUGUAGAUAACCCCUAAAAUAAGGAUAAAAUGUUUUUCUAUAUUCUAUAAAAAAAAGACAUGUACACAAUCGUUAAUAAAACUAGUUUAAUUAAAGUAUAAUGUCUUUUAAUAAAUUUAUCUAUUUUUUUAAAUUUAAAUCAGAAACUUUAAACAACAUUUAUCUAAAAAUGAAUAGAAUAUAAGAAUGCUUUCCAAUAAACAGUUAUAUAAAGUUUACAAGGUUCGUGUCAUAUUAGAAUUUCUGGACCAGCCAUCCCUUUAAUUUCUGUGUCUCUAAUAGGUCACUAUGUUUUUCGGUUCUUUUCUAAAUCCACAUUAUUCACAUAUCUGCUUUAAAUUUGAACAUCUAAAUUAAGCAACCUACCAUAGUAUCUCAUAUCAUAUAUAUCUCAAUCUUUCCACUUUACACAAAAAAAAAUUAAUAAAUAAAUUAAAACCACUUUGAUCAUAACAAUAAUUAUUAGUUUGUGAGAUACAAAAGAAGAAAAUAAAAAGCAGAUCCAUUAGUUUAACACAAAAAGCAAUCCCACUGGCCACUACCACCAUUUAACAUACCUUUCUUGUCUUGUAAAUCUUUGUCUUUUUUUCUCACAAGUUUAGCAUAUCUUUUUCCUCCUUAACAACCAAGUAACUCAUCAUCUACUUAUUAUAGCAAACCUCCAUACAUAUUAUUUUCAAACACAAGAAAAAAAGAAGAGAAGUGAAGUUAGAAACUUAAGAUAUGGGAGCUGAUUGGGGACCAGUGAUUGUUGCUGUUGCUUUGUUCAUUUUCUUAUCACCAGGGUUGCUCUUCCAAUUUCCAGCAAGGUUUAGGUGUGUGGAAUUUGGUAACAUGAGUACUAGUGGAAUUUCUAUUUUGAUUCAUGCUGUUAUAUAUUUUUGUAUACUUACCAUCUUAAUUAUUGCUAUUGGUAUUCAUGUACACUUUAACUGAAUCCAAGUUUACCUUGUUCGGCUUUUUGGAAUAUUACUUCUUGGGGUGCAACUUUUUUAAUUUGGCAAGUUGGUUCUAUGUGUUGUGUUUCUAUCUUAUUGUGCUUAGAAGAUAAUUGUUAUUUGUAUAUGAGUUAGAGUACCUUGUAUCUGUAUUCUAGUUGAUCAAUUUUACCUAUCUAAGAAAACUAUGAUAAAAAUAUUGCUCUACUUUUAUAAUUUAAGUAAAUGAAGAACUUUAUUUAAGUGGCAUUCUUACAUUUUUAAAUAUAACACAUUUGUUAAAAAUAAAAAGUUAUAUUAUUGCAAAUCUA
rnacentral:lncRNA from 1 species